CGCGCAGGCGGCCAGGUAAGUCGAAUGUGAAAGCCCCCCGGCUCAACUGGGGAGGGUCAUUCGAUACUGCUUGGCUUGAAGGUAGGAGAGGGAAGCGGAAUUUCAGGUGUAGUGGUGAAAUGCGUAGAUAUCUGAAGGAACACCAGUGGCGAAGGCGGCUUUCUGGCCUAUUCUUGACGCUGAGGCGCGAAAGCUAGGGGAGCGAACG
rnacentral:rRNA from 1 species